rnacentral:pre_miRNA from 1 species
CGGGUCGCAUUGGUUCUGGAAGCUGCCUCUGGUCGUGGUUGGCUCGGUGGUCGGCGCGCUACUUCUCGACCGAGAAGUUCGGAGCAUCUACCGAUGCGUGUUCCCGGCACCGGAGGCUCAGCCACAGGUGCAUGCGGCACCG